AUAUUGUCCACUCGCGCUUCGCAAAGUACCAUUGUUGCGCUUAGAAGAGAGGUUUAGCUAAACGAGAUUUAUCCCUGAAGAGACUUCUAAUAUUUCAUACUGUGUUGACUUUUAAGAAUAAAUGAGAUUUUAUGCAUUUUCCAUUUCAUACAAUGGCUGGAUGUAGGAGCGUUCGAUAGACUCUCCACAACACUCGGAUUAUGCCAUGCGACUCUCAAGUCCAGACGAGAAGUGGAAUCCGUUCGGCAACAUAAACAUUGUGAUAUCGUUGUAAUAUUUCAGGUAAACCCCAUCAAAUCAAAUCGGGGUUGACAGACAAAUUCUUCAGGUGAAAAUUAAGUAAUCGGAUUAGUGCUUUUUGAUGGACUGCUUGACAAUUAGCCCCAAUCGGCCUUGUUGUUCAUUCGCGCUAACCUCUGGACGAUUUGAUGUAUGACUCUAAGAGGAUUGCCGGCGAAGUCUGUUGGCUGUCGAUUUGAUUUUCGGUGUCUUCCAAAAUGCUUUUCCCCUUGCUUGUAUAUUCCAAAUUGAAUGUUGUUUUCGGGCGCAUAUCGACAGGUUUUUGUAUAAUUCUUUGUUGAGGAUCAAAUUUACCGUUUGUCCGACAAACUACAGAAUUAUCCGUAUUAGCGCGACCCUUCAAAGAGGCAAAUCAAAGACUUCCCGAACCUUGCUCCGCCAAAACUUGGAGCUUACCUUUCCGGACUUUUGUCUCUUCGAUAACGAAUAUUUUUCUUUAGCAAGAUAAAUACAAUGUUGGUUUAAUUUUUAAAGUUCUUUUAAUAAACUAGUAAACC
rnacentral:sRNA from 1 species